AUGCUCGCGCUCCUGCUCUCCCCGCCGGCGGCGCCUCCGCCGUGCCUCGCGACGCUAAGGCGGCGGCCUCCCGCGCCCCGCACCUCCUCCGCCCCCGGCCGCGCGGUGCCCGCCCUCCGCGCCGCGGCCGUCCCCCGCCUCGCCGCCGCGGGGCCCGGUGCCGCCGAGCCGGAGCCCGCGCCGCUGUCCGCCGAGGAGGAGGCCAAGCUCGCCCAGGUUAGCAAGAGGCUAGAGAAAACAGCACGGUAUUUCAAGAAUUUGGGUACCCUGGCAUUCUGGUCUCAGUUGGUGUGCACAACCGUUUCGGCUGGGAUCUUGUCGUUCUCCGCAGUUGCUACCGGGAAUGCAACAUCUCCCUUCACAUUCUAUGCGACCGGGCUUGGCAUCGUUGCGGCCUUUGUGUCAGUGUUCCGGUCAUUUGGUUACAUCCGUCUUUCCAAAACGCUCAGGAGAACAGCAACCGAGCCUGCAAAGGCUCCUCCGCGUGCGGCUGUGGUUAAAAACCUGAGGAACAGUAUUGUACUCAGCGUUGUCGGGAUGGGCGCUGCGGUCCUCGGGAUGCAGGCGACUGUUGGUGCUUUGGUAGCAAAAGCUCUCACCACCUCCUCGGUGCCCUACUACCAGGGGAUAUCCGCUGGCCAGAGCCCAGUUCUUGCUCUGGAUGUUUUUCUUGUUCAGGCUUCAGCCAACACCAUCCUCUCGCAUUUUCUCGGGCUAUCGAGCUCGCUGGAGCUACUGCGGUCCGUGACAAUCUCUCCAGCGGAUGCCGGCCCCGUCCCUCGACCGGCAUGA
rnacentral:rRNA from 1 species